rnacentral:rRNA from 1 species
ACAUGCAACCAUAUCUACGAGAAAAGUAUUAGAUCUCAUUCACUAUCCUAUAAUUAAGCUUAUAAGGGGUUGAUUAGUAGUUAGGUUAGUAGCAACUAGUCAAUCCUGACUAUUGCAUGUU